rnacentral:lncRNA from 1 species
UAGAGCCAUCACCCAAAUUACAUGGACUUCAAAGAAAGCAGACCUGGAUGCAAAAUUCCACUUCUCUUACUUCCCAGUCACACGACCACAGAUCUGGAGGCUGGAAGUCCAAGAUCAAGGUGCCAGCGGGAUGGUUUCUGACGUGUAUGAACAAGCUCAAACCAGCCUCUCCAGAGUGAACAAAAGGAAAGGAAAGGGGAACAAAGAAGUGAGGAGAACAACUGUUUCUGUUUGCUUAACAGCCGGAAGACUGGCCCUGAGCCAACAUCCGUGUCCAUCUUCCUCCACCUUAUAUGUGGGACACCUGCCACAGCAUGGCUUGUCAAGUGAUGCCAUGUCUGUACCCGGGAUCCGAACCGGCAAACCCCGGGCCACUGAAGCAGAACGUGCGCACUUAACCGCUGCGCCACAAGGCCAGCCCCCUGGUGACUUUUAAUUACGGCCAAGGCUGACCUUGAGCAGAGGAGAGAAGGCUGCCAUCCGUGCAGCCUGUUUUCGUGGACUUAAGGAACUUCCUGCUUGGUCAUUUAUAUCCUUUCCCUGAUACAGCUUGCUACAUACAGACCCCAACUUCUGGAAUUAGAGGUUGAUUCCUUUGGCUCGAGCCCAGGGUUAAAUUGCAGCUACCUCUGGGGUGGGUUGUUUAGUAAACCUUAGAAGUGCUUUACACCUGCGUGUAUAUACUCCUCAGAUCAAGUCUCUAGAGCAUUGUCUGAUAGAGAAAGGGGCAGGAGGAAUCUGACCGUGAGCAGGGCACAGGGUUUGCCAGGACAGAGCAAACUUACUCAUUUUAUCCAAAACACCUGGUCUGAUCCUGACCGUAACCCACUUGUCAGAUCACACUCGAGGCAUAGAGGACAAUGCAAGCACUUGAUUUAAAUCAUUAGAUCCAGCUUCCUCCUCCUCACAUUUCGCUGUUGACGAGCAACACUUCUAGCCAGAACUAAAUGUCUACAGUCUUGUCUUUCUUGGCCACCCGUGUGUAUUAAGUACAAAGAAACCAUAAAAU